CCUACGGGGGACAGCAGUGGGGAAUAUUGGACAAUGGGGGGAACCCUGAUCCAGCGACGCCGCGUGAGUGAAGAAGUAUUUCGGUAUGUAAAGCUCUAUCAGCAGGGAAGAAAGAAAUGACGGUACCUGACUAAGAAGCCCUGGCUAACUACGUGCCAGCAGCCGCGGUAAUACGUAGGGGGCAAGCGUUAUCCGGAUUUACUGGGUGUAAAGGGAGCGUAGGCGGGGAUGCAAGUCUGAAGGGAAAGGGGGGGGCCCAACCCCCGUACUGCUAUGGAAACUGUAUGGCUUGAGUGCAGGAGAGGUAAGUGGAAUGCGUAGUGUAGCGGUGAAAUGCGUAGAUAUUA
rnacentral:rRNA from 1 species